CCAGACUCCUACGGGAGGCAGCAGUGAGGAAUAUUGGUCAAUGGGCGGAAGCCUGAACCAGCCAAGUCGCGUGAGGGACUAAGGCCCUGCGGGUCGUAAACCUCUUUUGUCGGGGAGCAAAAGACGCCACGCGUGGCGUUCCGAGAGUACCCGAAGAAAAAGCAUCGGCUAACUCCGUGCCAGCAGCCGCGGUAAUACGGAGGAUGCGAGCGUUAUCCGGAUUUAUUGGGUUUAAAGGGUGCGUAGGCGGGCUGUUAAGUCAGCGGUCAAAUGUCGGGGCUCAACCCCGGCCUGCCGUUGAAACUGGCUGUCUUGAGAUGUCGAGAGGUAUGCGGAAUGCGCAGUGUAGCGGUGAAAUGCUUAGAUAUUGCGCAGAACUCCGAUUGCGAAGGCAGCAUACCGGCGGCGAUCUGACGCUGAGGCACGAAAGCGUGGGUAUCGAACAGGAUUAGAUACCCCCGUACA
rnacentral:rRNA from 1 species